UACGUAGGUGGCAAGCGUUGUUCGGAAUUAUUGGGCGUAAAGGGCGCGCAGGCGGUUUCUUAAGUCUGAUGUGAAAGCCCACGGCUCAACCGUGGAGGGUCAUUGGAAACUGGGGAACUUGAGUGCAGAAGAGAAAAGCGGAAUUCCACGUGUAGCGGUGAAAUGCGUAGAGAUGUGGAGGAACACCAGUGGCGAAGGCGGCUUUUUGGUCUGUAACUGACGCUGAGGCGCGAAAGCGUGGGGAGCAAACAGG
rnacentral:rRNA from 1 species